AGGAGCUUAGUUUAACGGUAAAAUAAGGGUCUCCAAAACCCUAGUCGAAGGUCCGACUCCUUCAGCUCCUGCCA
rnacentral:tRNA from 1 species